rnacentral:lncRNA from 1 species
GGAUGAGAACGACUUCCUGAAGCUGCUGCGUUUGGGCCUGUUAGGGAUCUUCCUUGUAAAGACCUCGUUUGCAUAAGUUCAGGGCAGGCUAUGAAGAAACUGAGGCACAGAGGAGUGAAAUCAUUGGCUCAGUGCCCCACAUCUCUCUCCAGAGAAGGAAGAGGAAGGCGGAGCAUGGGCAGGUCACGACUGGAGAGGGAGACGGGGUCCGAAGUUGCUGAGAGAGAUAAGAGAAUGGGGAUUCAGGCAAUGGUGGGAACCAAGGCGAGGCCGAGGGACCGGCCCCUGACGAUGAGCGGGGACGGGAUGGGGGCCUUGGAGAGUGAGGGAUGUGAUCGAUUCCCCGAGAGCACCAAAGGGACCCGCGGACAGAAGCGAAGGCUGAAGUCAGGGGACGGGAAUGUCGAGCCGGGGAGGUGGCCGUGGGUGACGGGACGCAGGCUCUGCGGCUCCGGGGGAGGCGGGAACAGCGAGCAUCCCCGUCCCCUGCCUCCGGGUGGCCCUGCCCCUCCCUGGGCCGUGUCACCGUGCAGCUCCUCCCGUCGAGAGAUGGAAUCUGCUUCCCCAGCCCCCAAACUGGACCCCGCAGCUCGCGGUGGCCGGUCAAACGCAGCCAGGCGAGCGUGUCCGGGUUCCCAGACAACGCCUUCAGGGCCUCUGAGGGUUUCUCUUCUCGCUCUGGCUUCUCUGCCUCCUCUGCAAGAACAUGCCCGGGCCGGCCCGCGGCGGGGUGCGGGAUGCGAGGGAAAGGUCGAGAAGAACUGAGUCAUCCCGGCUGGAGUCAUCCUCGACCAGCCAGCCUCUCGAGGGCCCGCCAGACGACGGCAGCUUCAUGAGCGAGCUCCGCCGGGGUCCACAGAGCCUGGCCCGGAUUAGCAGAACUGUCCAGAGGACCCAAAGAGACGUUUCUCUUCUGGCCAAGCCUAACCCGGAACCACGGAUGGAAGGGCACUCUGAGACACGAGGCCCUGUCUCAGCUACGUUGUCACAAGGUGCAGCCAUUGCGGGCGCAGAGGGACGUCUUUGUCCAUCAGAUGGCGGCCCUGCCCCGCGUGUGGCCCUCAGUGGGGUCCAGCGACUUCACGAGCCUCGAGCUCCCUACUGGGGCACCGGGCUCUGCGAUGUCUGCCCCCUGACCUCAGCCAGGACCUCCUCGCCCGUCCCGGUCGCACUGCUCCUCCUCGAGCUCCUCAGGCCUCCAUGGGGCACCCUGGCCCUUGGACUUCAGUGCCCUUGGCCUGGGGUCCCCGCUCCAGGCCUCGGCCUCCAUGGCCCUGCCUCCCCCUGGAACAUUUCCCUCCCUUUCUUGUGCGUCUCCCGCACGAGGACGUCCCCUCCUCGAGGCCCCUCAGCAGGCAUCCCGGCUCGGAGCAGGCAUUCUGCCCGUGGUAACCCUCUGCCUGCAGGAGCCUUCGAGUCGGAAGAGACGGGCCGUCCGGAGGAUGCUGGCGGGAGGUGCGCCCGUCCUGCAACAGGAGGAUGAGGCCGACCCAGACGUGUGAGUGGCCGGGGAGGCCAGUCCCAGCCUGAGUCUUUGUUCUCUGUUAUUUUAUGUCUUUUUUAAAUCUCUCCAACGAUCGUGAAGUCAGUUUAGGGCUUCUUAGUCUGUUCCAGCUGCUGCAGCAAAAAUGCCAUAAACUGAGCGGCUUGUAAACAGUAAACACAUAUUUCUCACUGUUCUGGAGGACGGGAGGUCCGAGAUCAGGGUGCAGGCAGGCUCGGUGUCUGGUGAGGGCCCGCUUCCUCACAGACAGUUGUUUUUGCACGAUAAUCUCACAUGGCAGGGGGACGGGGAGGGUCUCUCUCUCUCUUUUUUUUUUUUUUUGCUGAGGAAGAUUGGCCCUGAGCUAACUUCUGUUGCCAAUCCUCCUCUUUUUUUGCUUGAGGAAGAUUGUUGCUGAGCUAACAUCUGUGCCCAUCUUCCUCUACUUUGUAUGUGGGAUGCCGCCACAGCAUGGCUGAUGAGCGGAGCAGGACCACUCUGGGAUCUGAACCCACAAACCCUGGGCCGCGGAAGCAAAAUGUGCAAACUUCACCACUCUGCCACCAGGCUGGCCCCUUUACACAUUUUUAACAGCACGGCGGUGGUGUUCCUUGUCAAGGCAAGCAGCACGUGAUCUCCUUCUAGUGCAAUAUGCCUGGCAGCCCCGUCUCCUCUGUCCCCAUUUGUCUAAUCAUGCGAGCUCCCAGAUACACCCCCCCGUACCGGCCCUGGGAGGGAGAAGAAAGCACAGGCCCAGGAGUCGGGAGAGCUGCAUCUGGCUCUGUUUCUGCCACUGACUUGCUGUGUGACUUUGGGCAAGCCCCUGGCCCUCUCUGGGCCUCAAUUUCCAGAUCUGUGCACAUUGAGAGGAUUGGACUGGAGGACGUCUCUGGGCCUUUCCAGUCCUACAUCCUGUUCCAUUCUUUCCUAAAUUGAGGUGAGUUUUCUUUGGGGAUUUGGGAGAAUUCUGAGGCUCUACCAGAGAUAACAGGAAGUGUCCUUAGGGUGGGAAGCUCUGACCCAUGGGGCUGACCCCCCAGAGUCACUCUGUCCCCACCUGGGUGAGCCAGCGCCACAGAGGACAGCCCUGCCCUGGGGCCACCCAGUUGUGGCCCAUUCACGAAGCACCAGAAGGCACUGGCUGUCCCGGGAGGCAUCCGGGCCUCGGGGCGCAGACGCGGGGCACCUCCUGUCUCCUCCAGCAACGCCUGGCACAGCGAGGCCCCAGGGCCUUUGCUCGCGCCGGCCUCCCUCCCGGCCAAUUAACCGUUAACCUGAGCCCAGCAGGUCACAACGCAGCCAGGCCUUUCUUGAAAGUCUUCCCGUGUUCUCGUUGUGGCUCCCAGUCCCGUGGUUCACUGUCCACAACCCGUGGGGCAGAAACCAAGGUCAGACAGCUUGUGGUUCGGGGACCUGGGUUCAAAUCCAGGUCUUUGGAUUCUGACUCCUCCAUUUACCAGGUUAGUCUCUCUGUGCCUCAGUUUACUCAUCUGGAAAAUGGGGAUUCAUAAUCGUAUCUGCCUCACGGGGCAUCCAUAUGGAUUCAAUGAGGUCAUGUAUGUAAAGAGCUUCACAUAGCGUCCAGCACACAGUGGGGGUGAUUCUGUGCUGCUGCCGUCCUCCCCCACCCUCCGGGCCUGAGCUCAAGUCCCACUCGGAACUCACCCGUGUGAGUCCCUCCCGGGCCCCAGGAGCUGCAUGCGGCACCUUCACAUACGUGUUCCAUGAACGCCUUUCACUGUGGAAUUAUAACUGCAGAACAUAAGCUAUAGGAAACCUUAUUUAAUUUCCUAAUUUAAAAUCUUUCUUUCUUUCUUUCUUUUUUUUUUUUUUUUUGGUGAGGAAGAUUGGCCCUGAGCUAACAUCUGUUGCCAGUCUUCCUCUUUUUUUUGGUUUUCUCCCCAAAGCCCCCUGGUACAUAGUUGUAUUUUUAGUUGUGGGUCCCUCUAGUUGUGGCAUGUGGGACGCCGCCUCAGCAUGGCUUGAUGAGCAGUGUCAUGUCCGCACCCAGGAUCCGAACCGGCAAAACCCUGGGCCGCUGAAGCAGAGCGCCUGGACCUAACCACUCAGCCAUGGACCCAAGCUCUAAUUUUAAUUUUUAAUUACUAAAUUCUAAUUAAAAUUUCUUGAGAUUUUUAACUGAAUCACUUGAUUUGAAGUUUAAUUGAAAGAACAAAUUUUAAUGUUUUAAUCAAUCAUUUUAAUUUAACUUUAAUCAAUACAUUUAAAUUCGUAACUUUAUAAUUUUAUCAAUACAUUUUAAUGUUUUCAUUUAAUUAGUGUUUCCAUGUCAUUUUAGUGAGUAAGUUUAAAUUUUAAUGAAUAUGUUUUCAUAUAAAUUUUUAAAUUUUGUAGAAAAUUAAAACCCUCCCUGAGGACGCCAAAGGCCUCCUGGAGCCAUCGCCCAUGCCAGCCCCCUCCCCAGAAGGAACCGCCAUCUCUCCGGGGUCCCCAUGUGCAUGCAUCUCCUGACCCCCUAACUCCUUCCCCCCCAUCCGCCCCCACCCCACAGGCCAGACCAUGAAGAGCAUCUUCAGUCGUCAUGGUGACAGAUACUGCUGGCUGCCCACCCAAUGGUCAUCACCUCCCCUUCCCUCACCUUGCCUUGGCUAAUAGAUCCCCAGUUUGGUUUUGGGUGGUGACAUGGCCCAUCCUGGGGCACUGAUCAUAAUUGCCCAAGCCAAUUGAUCUGUCCCAUCCCUCUUGUCAGUUACACGCUUGUUUGGCUAUGUGACAUCCCCCACCCACCCGCCACCUCCCUGCUCCAGCCAAGACUGCUUGGAGGAUUUCUGAAGAAAGUCAGUCAAUUAUCUCCUGCCACAGGAAUGCUGUGUAAGACGCAACCACCGAACCUUGGUGGAGGAUAAGAGUGAGCGUUUCCUGCUCGUGCCCCUGGAGUGAGCCGGGGGCGGGCUCAGUGGCUCUGCGGGUCUUGGCGGGGCUCGCUCGCAGGUCUGGCGAGUGGAGGUGUUGAGUGAGGGAGACUGGGCCUGGGCCGCUAGAGCAGCUCGACGGCUCCACGCGCCUCUCUCGCCCGCCUGCAAGCCAGCCCAGCCUCACAAGCCCAACUCAAGCUUCUGCUGGUGUCACGUCUCCUGAUGCCCCACCGGCCAGGGCUGAGCCCAGAGCCAGAGUAGGAGGGCGCCACCAAGUUUCAAGGCCAAGGCAUGGAUCCAGGGAAAAGAGGAGAACAGGGCAGUGUUUGCAAUCUACCAGAGAAACUCUUUCUGGAUAAAAAUAUCGAGACUCUAAGAAGAAAGGCUUUUGCUAUUGCUUUCUACCUUUCCCACUUGGGACAAUGGAGCAGAUACGUGAUGGUUGGAGCUGCAGCAGCCAUCUUGUGACCAUGAGGCAACAAGCAUGAGGAUCAAAAACAUGAGUACUCUGAGAACAGCAGAGCAGAAGGAUAUGAAAGCCUGAUGAUGUGGCUGAGCUGUGGAACCAUCCCUGGCCACCUACCUCCAGUCAUUGUUGGUUGAGUGUUAUUUUUUCCUGUAGCCAAACUCAUCCUAACAGAUAUCGCUUGAUUCUAGGGCUGCUGAGCAUGCCCUUUUUCAAGAAAUGCCUAUCUCUAUCCCAGCCUCUACCUCAGUGCUUGACAUUUGUAUUUUCCAAAUCUAGCCACAAAACAUGUCCCACUCCACAUGCUCUUUUUUUUUUUUUUUUUUUGGUGAGGAAGAUUGGCCCUGAUCUAAUAUCUAUGUCAAUCUUCCUCUAUUUUGUACGUGGGAUGCUGCCACAGCAUGGCUUGAUGAGGGGUGUGUGGUUCCAGCCUGGGAUCCAAAAGUGCAAAUCCCAGCUUGCCAAAGCAGAGGGCGCAAACCUAACCACUACACCACCAGGCCAGCCCCUCACAUGCUCUUCUUACAAUGUGACUUUGGCGUAUCUCCUGCUACGAGUUGGGGUUCUAGGUUCCUUACCCUUGAAUCCGGGCAGGCUUGGGUCUAUAGCAGAAGUGACCUGUUACAGGUUGAACGGUGUCCCUCCCCCACCCCAAAUUUCUCUAUUGGAGUCCCAACUCUCGACACCUCAGAAUGUAACCUUGCUCAGAAAUAGGGUUGGCGACCUCACACAAAGGAGACCCCUGGACACAGACGCGCACACGGGGAGAGAGCCAUGUGAAGGUGGAGGCAGAGAUGGGGGUGACGCAGCCACAGCAACGAACCCCAAGGUCGGCCAGCAAACCACGGGAGCUGGAGAGAGGCUGGACCGGGCUCCCCCUCGGCCUCGGGGGGACCAGCUGACACCUGCAUCCUGGACCUUGAGCCGCCGGAGUUAGAAGCGAGACAGUUAGUCUCGGUGCUUUAAGCCACGCGGUUUGCGGGACUUUGUCACCACAGGCCCACCCUGUCGCUGGAACAGAGUGUCGCCACGAGGACAACAGCCUUGCUGAGUUCUCUGGGUCCUUCCAGCAAACCCUUCACCCUGCGGGUGGCCUUGGGGACCCCGAGGUUCCGCCCAGCCCUUCACACGCUGGGUUGUCCCUCCCCGGUCACGCCUGCCCACCCACCCCGCCACGGCGCCAUCCCCACGCCCCGGGAGGAAGCCGCUGGGCUCUCAGCUCCCUUUCCCCAGGACGGAAGGAAAAGUCUGAGAACUCACUUACACUCGGGAUUCAACCACGAUUCUCAUUUGACUUCAUGUUGUUUUCAAUGACUUUAUUGAGGUCAUGUUGGUUUAUAACAUUGUGCAAUUUCAGGUGCACGUUAUUACAUAUCAGCUUCGGUGUAGACUGCAUCGUGCUCACCACUGAUGGUCUGGUUUUUAUCCAUCACUAUAUAUAUGCGCCCGUUUAUCUCUCUCACCUUACCCCCAGCCCCUUUCUCUCUGGUAACCACUAAUCUGUUCUCUUUAUCCGUGUAUUUUUUAUCUUCCACAUAGGAGUGAAAUCACAUGGCGUUUGUCUUUCUCUGUCUGGCUUAUUUCGCUUAAUGUCAUUCCCUCAAGGUCCAUCCAUGUUGUUGCAAAUGGGACGAUUCUGUCCUUUUUAUGGCUGAGUAGUAUUCCACUCUCUCUCUAUACCAUGUCUUUGUUAUCCAUUCAUCCAUAGAGGGGAACUUAGGUUGUUUCCACAUCUUGGCCAUUGUGAAUAAUGCUGCUGUGAACCUAGGGGAGCAUGAGUCUCUUUCCCUGAUUCUUUUUUUUUUUUGAGGAAGAUUAGCCAAUCCUCCUCUUUUUGCUGAGGAAGACUGGCCCUGAGCUAACAGCGUGCCCAUCGUCCUCUACUUUAUACAUGGGACGCCUACCACAGCAUGGCGUGCCAAGUGGUGCCAUGUCCGCACCCGGGAUCUGAACCAGCGAACCCCGGGCCACCAAAAUGGAACAUGUGCACUUAACCCCUGCACCACCAGGCCAGCCUCUCCUUGAUUCUUAUUUUAAGAGCCUCGAGCUGGUAGGAUGGAAGGAUGGGGGUCAAGCAAGUGAGAAAUGAAGGGGAGACCAGCGGAGCCGGGAAAAUCCCAGUGUUCCGGCUCACAUUCCAGGGUCGUCUUCCUGGGGCCCCGGGGAUGUCACUCCAGACGCAGACAGGGGCCCCUGCACUGUUCAGAAUGCCGCUCGUGCAACGGCUCUCACGCUUGAGUGACUGUCCCCUCGGGGACAUUCUGGGUGCCCCAAGGCAGGAAGGGGUGCUCGGGCCUCUGGUGGGUGAAGGCCAGGGGGGUGCUGACACCCGACGGUGCACAGGCCCCCGCGGCACAGGGCGACCUGAGCCCCAGGGUCAGGAGGUGGAGGCCAGGAGCUCCCCACAGCCAACCGAACAAAGUCCAAAAUCUCCCGCACUGUCAUGGGCCGUUGAAGUCGCCUCUUCUGUGAAAUGAGCCGUGGAAGCUGAGCUCCUCCUUCAGAAUCAACCGAAAGCUGCCAGUGUUGUUUUUCCAGUGUUUGGGGCCGCGUGAUUUCCCAACACUGAUUUCCUACGUGCCAGACCCUGCUGGGUUACGAGAGACACAGAGAUGAGUAACAGAGUGUCUUACGUCUGGAUUUGGCAAGACGGUCAGAUACCAAGGGACUGAGGAUUUUUAAUCUACUCGUUCAACCGAGAAGUAUUUACUGAACACCCGUGGUGGUGAAAACGAUGGGCUUGUCCCCACCUCCGCCUCUGCCCAGCUGUGCAGCCUUGAGAAAGUGACUUAACCUCUCUGAGCCGGAUUCCUCAUCUGGAAAAUAGGGAGGAUGAGAAUAUUUCUAUCUCAUCAAGAGGUUGUGAGGACUGAUGAUGUCUUGACAAGUGCUGCGGGGGACGGACUGUUGAAUGAGGCCAGGUCACGCUUGCAAGGAGCAUGCGGUCUGGUAGGAGAAGCAGAAGAGUUACAAAAACAGAGAAUAGAAUAAUGAGAUGGGGGCCGGCCCGGGGCCGAGUGGUUAAGUUCGUGCGCUCUGCUUCAGUGGCCCAGGGUCUCGUCAGUUCGGAUCCUGAGCACGGACAUGGCACCACUCGUCAGGCCAUGCUGAGGCGGCGUCCCACAUGCCACAACUAGAAGGACCCACAACUAAAAAUACACAACUUUGUACCAGGGGGCUUUGGGGAGAAGCAGAAAAAAAGAGGAAGAUGGGCACAGAUGUUAGCUCAGGGCUAAUCUUCCUCAGCAAAACAAAACAAAACAAAAAAAAAGAGUGUACAAUUCAGGGGCAUUUUGUACAAUUACAACGUUGAACAACCAUCACUCCUAUCUAGUUCCAGAACAUUUUCAUCCCCCUAAAAGGAAACCCCUUACUCAUUAAAUAGUCACUCCACAUUCCCCGACCCCCAUCUCGGGGCAACCCCUAAUCUACUUGCUGUCUCUCUGGAUUUGCCUGUUCUGGACAUUUCACAUAAAUGGAACCAUGUGGUCGAUGACCUUGUGUGUCCGGCUUCUUUCACUCAGUGGGAUGUUUUCAAGGUUCAUCCAUGUUGUAGCAUCUAUGAGAGCUUCGCUCCUUUUCACGGCUGCAUAAUAUUCCACCGUAUGGCUAUACCAUGUUCCAUUUAUCCAUUCACCUGUGGAUGGGCAUGUGGGUUGUUUCCACCUUUUGGCUAUCAUGGCUGGCGCUGACUCGAGUUUUUUAAGGCAUUUUUCUCCAGGAGGGCUGUCUUGAUGGGAAAUGCCCCUCCACACACCAACCUUAAAAAUAGGUCUCCACUUAAAAACAGGGGAAAAAGGCCAUUUGCACAGAUGCCAGCGUCUCCUCCAGACAGGGAGAAGCUGCCAUUUUGAGGCUGGUUCUGGUGACCUUCCGCCUCCCACUGCUUUCCUCCUGUGGGUGUCACCGGGGUUGGAGAUGCGUGGCCCGUGUGAGACUGGAAGCCCUCCCACAGGCGGGAAUUCUCAGUCUGUUCUGGGCACAUGGUGAGCACCUGGCAAACCAGUAUGUGAUAGUGAAGCACAGGCACAGAUCCCUCUCUGAGAUUUUCUAGCCUUUUUUUUUUUUUUUUUUUUUUUUUUUUUUGCUGAGGAAGAUUGGUCCUCAGCUAACAUCUAUGCUGAUCUUCCUCUGUUUUACAUCGGAUGCGGCCACAGUGUGGCUUGACGAGCAGUGCUAGGUCCACACCCAGGAUCCAAACCUAUGAACCCCAGGCCGCCAAAGCAGAGCACACAAACUCAACCACUACACCACCAGCCCAGCCCUCUUAAAAAUUUUUUAAAAUGAAAUAUUGAGCAGAUAUUUAAAAAAAUAAAAUAUAUAUAAGAUAUAAAGAAUAAGAACAAAAUAAAUAUCCAUGGGCCCCUCACUCAAUUUAAGAAAAAACUUCCGCAUCCUCUGAAGCUCCCCUGGGGGCCCUUCUCCGUCUCAUUCCCCUCCCUCGCCCCUCAGAGGUAACCACUUUGCUAAACCUUGUGUUUGUCUUCCCCUCACUUUUAAAAGAUAAUCUACAAUAUAUUUGUGUCCCUAAACUGUACCCUGUGUGGUUUCGUCCGUGUUUUGAAAUUUUAUAAGCACAUCUGUAUUGUCGUGUGUAACUGAAAGCAACUGAUUUUUCACAGCUGUAUAAUAUUCCAUUGAAUAAAUAUAUCACGAUUUAACCAG